GAUGAAGAACGUAGCGAAAUGCGAUAAGUAAUGUGAAUUGCAGAAUUCAGUGAAUCAUCGAAUCUUUGAACGCACCUUGCGCUCCUUGGUAUUCCUUGGAGCAUGCCUGUUUGAGUAUCAUGAAAUCCUCAAAAUAUAUCUUUCGUUCAUUCGAUUUGUUUUAUUUUGGACUUGGAGGUCUGCAGAUUCACGUCUGCUCCUCUCAAAUGCAUUAGCUGGAUCUCAGUGAGCUCGGUUCCACUCGGCGUGAUAAGUAUCACUCGCUGAGGACACUGUAAAAAGUGGCCGGGAUUGCAGAUGAACCGCUUCUAAUCGUCUAUUAGCUUAGACAAUUAAAUCUUAUGAUCUGAUCUCAAAUCAGGUAGGACUACCCGCUGAACUUAAGCAUAUCAAUAAGCGGAGGA
rnacentral:misc_RNA from 1 species